rnacentral:rRNA from 1 species
CCUACGGGAGGCUGCAGUGGGGAAUAUUACACAAUGGGGGAAACCCUGAUGCAGCGACGCCGCGUGAGUGAAGAAGUAAUUCGUUAUGUAAAGCUCUAUCAGCAGGGAAGAAAAUGACGGUACCUGAGUAAGAAGCCCCGGCUAACUACGUGCCAGCAGCCGCGGUAAGACGUAGGGGGCAAGCGUUAUCCGGAUUUACUGGGUGUAAAGGGAGCGUAGACGGCAGUGCAAGUCUGGAGUGAAAGGCGGGGGCUCAACCCCCGGACUGCUCUGGAAACUGUACGGCUGGAGUGCAGGAGAGGUAAGUGGAAUGCGUGGUGUAGCGGUGAAAUGCGUAGAUAUUAGGAGGAACACCAGUGGCGAAGGCGGCUUACUGGACUGUAACUGACGUUGAGGCUCGAAAGCGUGGGGAGCAAACAGGAUUAGAUACCCCAGUAGUC